AUGAAGAGCUUCACCUUGAUAACAGUUAUAUUUCUCUGCAGCCUCAGCUGGGUCUCUGUCUCAGUUUCUGAGCCUCAGACUGUGGAGGUCCAGCCUGGUGAAGAAGUCACACUGCAGUGCUCCAACAUCUCAGCAACCCCAACUCAGACAGACUGGUUCAGAGUGGUCAACGGAACCAAAGCCAGCUGUAUCGCCUCUAUGUACAGGACUGAGGACAAAGCUUCUCUCUGUGAUGGAUUUCAGAAUGCAGAAUUUGAAAUGAGAUCAAACAUCUCUACAGUCUUUCUUAAAAUCACACAAGUGGAUUUAUCUGACUCUGGACUGUAUUUCUGUGGAUUUUACAUGAACACACACACAGUCAUUGCUGAUGUGACAGAGUUACAUGUUCAAGAAGAGUCUGAUGGAAUAAACCUGAUGAGUGUGAUCCUGAGUGCUGUGACCGUCCUGCUCACUAUUAUCAUCAUUGUUCUGGCUGUUAAAAUCAUGAAAUGUCAGACAGGUAUAGUCGGAUAA